GCCCAGACUCCUACGGGAGGCAGCAGUGGGGAAUAUUGCACAAUGGGGGAAACCCUGAUGCAGCGACGCCGCGUGAGUGAAGAAGUAUUUCGGUAUGUAAAGCUCUAUCAGCAGGGAAGAAAAUGACGGUACCUGACUAAGAAGCCCCGGCUAACUACGUGCCAGCAGCCGCGGUAAUACGUAGGGGGCAAGCGUUAUCCGGAUUUACUGGGUGUAAAGGGAGCGUAGACGGUGAUGCAAGUCAGAAGUGAAAGCCCGGGGCUCAACUCCGGGACUGCUUUUGAAACUGUGUAACUGGAGUGCAGGAGAGGUAAGCGGAAUUCCUGGUGUAGCGGUGAAAUGCGUAGAUAUCAGGAGGAACACCAGUGGCGAAGGCGGCUUUCUGGACUGAAACUGACGCUGAGGCACGAAAGCGUGGGGAGCGAACAGGAUUAGAUACCCCAGUA
rnacentral:rRNA from 1 species